rnacentral:rRNA from 1 species
AUUGAACGCUGGCGGCAUGCUUUACACAUGCAAGUCGAACGGCAGCGCGGGCUUCGGCCUGGCGGCGAGUGGCGAACGGGUGAGUAAUACAUCGGAACGUGCCCAGUAGUGGGGGAUAGCUCGGCGAAAGCCGGAUUAAUACCGCAUACGACCUGAGGGUGAAAGCGGGGGAUCUUCGGACCUCGCGCUAUUGGAGCGGCCGAUGGCAGAUUAGCUAGUUGGUGGGGUAAAGGCCUACCAAGGCGACGAUCUGUAGCUGGUCUGAGAGGACGACCAGCCACACUGGGACUGAGACACGGCCCAGACUCCUACGGGAGGCAGCAGUGGGGAAUUUUGGACAAUGGGCGAAAGCCUGAUCCGGCAAUGCCGCGUGUGUGAUGAAGGCCUUCGGGUUGUAAAGCACUUUUGGCGGGAACGAAAAGGACUGUGCCAAUACCACGGUUCGAUGACGGUACCCGCAGAAUAAGCACCGGCUAACUACGUG